rnacentral:lncRNA from 1 species
UGCUAAAAAUAAACUCAAAACAUGUCACACAUCUCUUCUGUAGCAGGCAGAAGAAUCACACAGGGCAGAAAAUGGAGACUUGGCAAGGCCGACCUGGAGCUUUAUCUGUGUUGAAAGAAGAUGACUCCUUUAAUGCCAUUGAAGGAAGCUAUGAAAGUACACAUUCUUGUCUAACAACUCCAAGCCUUCAUACAACGCUGAUAAGAAGCUAAAGACGUUGUUUAUUGCAAUCAAAUCAUCACUGUCCUGAGUUAGUGUUGACCAGAAAUAUUUGAGACAUGGUAACUCAUAAGCAAGCUGGCUCGCAUAAAAGUAAAAAGUAUCAACAGAUCCAGAGGCAGAG